UACGUAGGGUGCAAGCGUUAAUCGGAAUUACUGGGCGUAAAGCGUGCGCAGGCGGUUAUGCAAGACAGAUGUGAAAUCCCCGGGCUCAACCUGGGAACUGCAUUUGUGACUGCGAUGGCUAGAGUUUGGCAGAGGGGGGUAGAAUUCCACGUGUAGCAGUGAAAUGGCGUAGAUAUGUGGAGGAACACCGAUGGCGAAGGCAGCCCCCUGGGUCAGACUGGACGCU
rnacentral:rRNA from 1 species